CGGGGCGUGGCGCAGUCUGGUAGCGCACCUGCUUUGGGAGCAGGGGGCCGCUGGUUCGAAUCCAGUCGCCCCGACAA
rnacentral:tRNA from 1 species